rnacentral:rRNA from 1 species
GACGAACCGUGCAAACGUUGUUCGGAAUCACUGGGCUUAAAGGGCGCGUAGGCGGCUCGCCAAGUCAGGGGUGAAAUACUUCAGCUUAACUGGAGAAGUGCCCUUGAUACUGGCGGGCUCGAGGGAGGUAGGGGUCUGUGGAACUUCUGGUGGAGCGGUGAAAUGCGUUGAUAUCAGAAGGAACGCCGGUGGCGAAAGCGACGGACUGGACCUCUUCUGACGCUGAGGCGCGAAAGCUAGGGGAGCAAACGGG